rnacentral:piRNA from 1 species
AUACAGAUGUGUAUGGUUACCAAUGACUGUA